rnacentral:rRNA from 1 species
GACGAACGCUGGCGGCGUGCCUAAUACAUGCAAGUAGAACGCUGAAGGAGGAGCUUGCUUCUCUGGAUGAGUUGCGAACGGGUGAGUAACGCGUAGGUAACCUGCCUGGUAGCGGGGGAUAACUAUUGGAAACGAUAGCUAAUACCGCAUAAGAGUAGAUGUUGCAUGACAUUUGCUUAAAAGGUGCAAUUGCAUCACUACCAGAUGGACCUGCGUUGUAUUAGCUAGUUGGUGGGGUAACGGCUCACCAAGGCGACGAUACAUAGCCGACCUGAGAGGGUGAUCGGCCACACUGGGACUGAGACACGGCCCAGACUCCUACGGGAGGCAGCAGUGGGGAAUCUUCGGCAAUGGACGGAAGUCUGACCGAGCAACGCCGCGUGAGUGAAGAAGGUUUUCGGAUCGUAAAGCUCUGUUGUAAGAGAAGAACGAGUGUGAGAGUGGAAAGUUCACACUGUGACGGUAUCUUACCAGAAAGGGACGGCUAACUACGUG